UGUAGGCCCCAGCACCUGUCGUCGUCAUCCCAACUUAGCCCCAUGUCGUGUGCCAAAUCCUGUAGCUGACCAUGAAGCGCUUCUCGGGGUCCUUAUCAUUUGAAUCGGUGGUUGUUGCUGCUAGUUGACUGCGGCAUGAUGAAGGCCAAGGUGGGCUCCCGCGCCGGCAACUCCAGGUUCAUGUAUUUACUAAAGACGGCAUGAGGAGGCCGAGCUUUUGCACCACAGUCAACGCGACGUCCCGGCCGGCGGGAGCUAGAGGCAUGCACAUCCUCUUCCGCCUUAUAUGCCAUCCAGCAGCCCUCUGUCACCGCGUCCGUCCCUCCUUCCUCCCCUGCUUGCUGUCCUAAGCAGUGGAGGACGCAGCUACCUGAGGGAGCGAAGCCCGGCCUCCUAGCACCCGCAGUCGCACUGCACCCUGCAAAAAGUAAAUAAAUCGCAAGUUCAGAAUAAAAAAACCGAGAAGUUCAAGAACAACCUUUACUGCCUUAUGUUGUUUGCCAACAAUCUUCAGUUUCUUCAGUAGCUCGUGCACAUAUUGCCUAAGCUAGUAUGUUCAGAAUCUUAAAUUGGUAGGUGACCUACAGGGCUAACCAUGUUGAUGGUGAUUGAAGAAGGAUUCCUAUAAUAUUAUUAUUGAGAUUGAAGGCCAACUUUUAUGCACCAUGUGGGAGGAUCCCAGGAAUUGUUCUUAACCAGUCGAUGGAUUUCGAGAGAUGCGUUCAUAUCUCACAAGUUUCCAGGGGUUCAAGCUCAUUUAUAUAAGGAAUGCCAAAGGUUCAACAGCAGCACACUGCUGGUGAAAAAUCUCUGAACAUGCAGUGCAAUCAUGGAAAAAGCUUGCAUCUUUGUCACUUAACCACUGUUAAUCUCUUUUUACAGUUUUUGUUAUGCAUUCUUCACUGAGUACUACCACUAAACAUAUC